AGAGCGAACGCUGGCGGCAGGCCUAACACAUGCAAGUCGAGCGCCCGUAGCAAUACGGGAGCGGCAGACGGGAUAGUAACACGUGGGAACGCGCCCUUCGGUUCGGAAUAACUCAGGGAAACUUGAGCUAAUACCGAAUACGCCCUUACGGGGAAAGAUUUAUUGCCGAAGGAACGGCCCGCGUCCGAUUAGCUAGUUGGUGAGGUAAUGGCUCACCAAGGCUACGAUCGGUAGCUGGUCUGAGAGGAUGACCAGCAUCACUGGGACUGAGACACGGCCCAGACUCCUACGGGAGGCAGCAGUGGGGAAUAUUGGACAAUGGGCGCAAGCCUGAUCCAGCCAUGCCGCGUGGAUGAUGAAGGCCUUAGGGUUGUAAAGUCCUUUUAACGGGGAAGAUAAUGACGGUACCCGUAGAAUAAGCCCGGCUAACUUCGUGCCAGCAGGCCGC
rnacentral:rRNA from 1 species